UGAGCUCUUAACAUGGAAAGUAAGCGUUUCCGGACACAUGUCCACAUAACAUAUUUUCUUUCGUUGUGUGUGAGGAAUGUUUCCUGGAAGUUUGGCCGUACCUUUUUGUAACACCCUGUAUACCAUGUAAUAGUGUGACAAUACCAUUAUCGUCAUCCUGACCAUCAAUGGAUCACAGUUACAGUUUUCAGAUGAAAGCUCAAAUGAGAAUGAUGCUGUGGGACCUUCCACAGGUAGUGGAAUACAUAUCACAGAGCAGAGUGAUACAGACUUUGCAGAAGAAACAGACUUGGUAGUUGAAGAACCGUCACAAGCAACAUCAUUGAGUGCAAACAGAGAGUACUACAUCAAGAUAUGCUGCACCAAGGAAAAUAAAGUGAAGUGAAAAAGGGAGCUGUUAAAGAGCCCUUCAGUUGAUUGCUGAAAGACUGCAGUCCAAUACUAAUGUUGAUGCAGAUACAUUUGUUAAAGAUUUGGUGUAGAAAUGAAAGCCAUUAAAAUCCAUGAAAUGAGGAUGAUGAUUAACUGCAAAUACUAAAACUUGUGUAUGAUGCUGUAGUCAGUCAAUAAACAUGGAAAUUUCAUA